GCGAGUACUGUGGAGAUGCAAUUUAUUGCGAACAGGUUCAGAAGCUCGUCGGUACUGGCGGCACGGUCGAUUCCGUCGAGGGUAUUCUUGGUGAUCUUGAUGGCCAUGAGCAAGAGCGCGAUGACAACGGGAAAGCUGAGCACCGCCAUCAGAAUGCUGCUGUUGUUGGCCUUGGAGGCGAUACUGGAGAUGAGCGUGAGUGACGCCGAGAACCCGAUGGAUGACAGGAGCAAUGUAAGCAGAAAGAUGAGGGGGUCACGCACGGGC
rnacentral:misc_RNA from 1 species